GCUAAUGUAGCAAAUUAUGGCUCUGCCAAAGACCUAAACUCUUUUUAAAGAGGUUCAAAUCCUCUCACUAGCU
rnacentral:tRNA from 1 species